rnacentral:pre_miRNA from 1 species
UGUUAGGUUGGUGCAAAAGUAAUUGCGGUUUUUGCCAUUGCUUUUAAUGGCAAAAACUGCAAUUACUUUUGCACCAACCUAAUA